CUCUGUCACCCAGGCUGGAGUGCAGUGGCGCAAUCUCGGCUCACUGCAACCUCUGCCUCCCGGGUUCAAGUGACUCUCCUGCCUCAGCCUCCAGAGUAGCUGGGACUACAGGCCCCCGCCACCAUGCCUGGCUAAUUUUUAUAUUUUUAAUAGAGAUGGGGUUUCACCAUGUUGGCCAGGCUGGUCUCAAAUGCCUGACCUCGUGAUUCCCCUGCCUCGGCCUCCCAAAAUGCUGGGAUUACAGGCGUGAGCCACUGCACCCAGCCAAUUUUUAAAAUUUUUUCUAGAGUCGGGGUCUCACUGUGUUGCCCAGGCUGGUCUGGAACUCCUGGGCCCAAGCGAUCCUCCCGCCUGGGCCUCCCCAAGGUGCUGGAAUUACAGGCGUCAGCCACUGCACCCAGCCCAAGGUGCAGAGAAUUUAAGUAACUUGCACAGAUGACACAGCCCUGGAAGGAGGUUUCAAACCCAAGAAAAGAAACUUUCAGAGGCUUGGAAGCCCAGCCCUGCCCAGCCUCCUUGUGUCCUGAUGGCUGGAAGACCAGCCCAGCCCUCAAGAGGCUGCCUGGCUGUGAUUAGUGGGAGUCAUCAUGAGGAUGUCCAAGGACCCACUACACCCCAAGCAUGUGAGCUGUGGAGGAUCCCUCCAUUCGUGGGUCCAGGAGAUUCCCCUCUCGGGCCUGUUUCCUCUUCUCUCAACCAGCGAUGCCAGGCUGAGGCUGUAGGUUCGAGAAUCACGUAGGUAAUGGGCCUGGCACAUAGUAGGCUCUCAAGAAAAGGUUGGAGCCUCUUGAGGAGUCUGCCUGUGAUGGAUGCGGAGCGCAGACCCAGCGCAGUGCGGCGAUUCGCCCAAGGUCACACAGCCGCCCCCCCCAAUUCGGACCCCGGGCGGCCUGACUCCGGGGGCCGGGGCUUGUCGGGAGCCAGCGUGGGGGCGAGCAGUGUUUGGAAGAGCGGCCGCGGCAGUGGGUGGGAAGGGGCUUCUAUUUUGGAGCGGGUGAGAGGAGCGGGACACGCGGAGGAGGUAAGGAAGGGGUAGGCCCUCUCCGGGAUCUCUGUCCCCCAGUCACCU
rnacentral:lncRNA from 1 species